rnacentral:lncRNA from 1 species
CUCUUUUGACUUUGGAAUAAAUUCUCUUUAUCAAUAUACUGUUUCUUCUACACAUCCGCCUACAAUCCAUAAUAAAGAAUAAUUAGGAUUCUGAAAAAAAAAGAAAAAAUCAAUGGUUCACUCACAGGAGAACCCACUCUUUCCCGCAUUAGGCACUAAUUCAUUUUUAACGUCUAAUUAGAUCGGGUAAUCAUUCCAAUUAAGAACAUAAGCUCGUUGCUUUUUAUUUUACCAAAAUUGGAGCCAUAGAGCUCUAUCCAUUUAUUCACUAGACCCAAUUUGUCCCCUUCCUAAAAUCAAAACAAUCUUUUGGAACUGUAACGAUCCGGUAAGGAUAAACUCAAAGUUCUACUUUAACUUUGACUUUCAUUUCAAAUUAAAUAAAUUAAUAAAAUCAAAAUUAAAUAAAAUA